rnacentral:lncRNA from 1 species
GGGCACUAUAAAUUAGCUUCGCACAGGGCAUCCAACUUAUCCAGAACAGCUCUUGCAAGCUGAGACUCCAUUGCUCUACGGAAACUUUUCAUGGCCGAGACUAUGAUGCAAAUGUACAUUACAGCGUCUCUCAGGUUUUGAAAAUCAUCAUCUUUUACACUUUCCGAGUUUUCUGCCAGCCCUUUAAGAUCUUAUCAGCACCUUCCACCCAUUUUGGGCCCCAAGUUUACUCGUAUCCCAUCAUCAGCUAUGCCUGUGUCUUGACCUACAUCAAAAAAUAUAUAGACUAAAAUAAGUGUCCACGUCCGAGUGUCAAGUGUGUGACACAGGUGCUUCGAGCCAAAAUGAAGAGUAAGAGUGACAUAGAUUCCGGACAUUCUAGAUUUAGUUUGCACUUUACAGUACAUGUGCAAAAAGAAAACAAGCGAAUUUUCUGCUAUUUAUUCUUAUCAAACAUUUCAGUGGCAUAGGCCGAUAUGUAAAUCAUUACGGCCAAUUGAAUGUAAGUUUGUAAAUGGGUUCCAAAUGACACUAGCUAAAUGUUACAUAGGAAGGCAAUACAGAGCGUAAUUGAACAAAAAAAUUUAACAGAGGAAAAGAACAAACAAUCUUCUUCUGGAAGGCAUUAAAAGGUUGGUAUGAUGCAGUGAAAUUGUAAGGGCUGGUAUAAGAAGGUAAGAGGAUUUCUAGGCAAAAGCAGCAAUUCUCUAAACAAUCACCUCCUAAAAGCAAAAAAUUCAUGGAUUACAGUAUUUCAUUAGACUCUAUCCUGUCUCAUCCCAAAAUCUUGUAAAUAUACCCAGAGAAUGGGUUUUGUAAAUAUAGCUUCAAUCAAUGAGGUCAAACUUAAAGGUAUGCAAAACUAGAUUCUUUUCAACCACAUUGGAGUCGUUUUUCAAUGACUGCUUCUGUUUAGCGUGUAUAUACACUCCGACGUUAUGUUGUAAGGACUUGUUGCUUCGAUUAUGCUAAACAUGCACUGUUAUCAAGUCGACGACUAGUCAACCAUGGGUUUUAUUCAACCCAACCCGGUACCUAGCCCGACACGAGUAGAGUAUGCGAUUUUGAUCUGGAAAGAAAGAUAAGGCUUUGGUCGCCUACAUCUGGUCCGACUAAUAGACUUGUCGUCGGCAUGUUGGCCCUGAUAACCUGUUCCGGCUACAUAAUCUUUGUAUCAUUUUCAACAUAUUAGUAUAUCUCGAUCUUUGUAUCAUUUUCAACUUCAUAUUAUUAUUUCCUUCCUGUCACUACUUCUUGCUUCACUUUACAUGUGAACUAACAGUCUGCUGCGUCUUAUACAUUUGACUAUUGCUUAUUAUCUUUUACUUUGGAUUCAAACUAUAAACUGAUGUGUGUUCAACUAUAUUAAAUAUAUUAAAUCUAGUGAAUAUAUGUAUAUGAAUGACUUGUCGACUUUUUAAGACUAGUCGGGCGACUUGUUGACUAGUCGAUUCAAGGUACCGGGCGCCGAGGCUUGAUUGGCGCCGUGAUAACCUUGAUAACAGGACGACAACAUGAUCUAUUGUCUCGCUGUGGAAAUUCUGGCCGUAUAUAUUAUACUUGCAUACACCAUAACUACUAUUAACAGCUACAACAGAAACAACUAUUAAUUGAUUUUGUCCCACAAAUAAUAACAAGGCCCCUCCUGCAGGCACACUAAUUUUCUAAUUAAAAUCAGCCUUCUAACUAAAAUCAAGCAAAUUGGUAUUUAAUAAUAAAUUUAUGAGUUUUUUAUUAUUUUAAUAUUAUUAAAAAAAAUUAAUAAUUAAAAUUAUAAUACAACACAUGAGUAAAUAAAAUAUCAAAUAUACUUGAUAAAUGUGAACAUUUGAAUUUCCCUUGUUGGUAAUUAAUGUAUUGUCACAUACUAGUGUAUUAUAUACAAAAAAACUAGAUGUAAUAAAUACUCUAAACUCAUUCAUAUCAGUCAACCACAACCAGAUGCAUUAAAUACACGUUAACCUGUGCCCCAGGGUUCAGGUUAGCCCACCCGUUAUAAUAUUAUACACGUUAACCUGUGCCCCGGGGAACAGGUUAGCCAGCCCUAAUAUUAUAUCAAGUUCAUAUCUCACAAAGCAGAAUAAAUUUAUAAGAGUAGAAAAGUAGAGAAGAGCUCAAAGAUUGCUUCACAAGGGUAUAUGUGUGUGUGUAAUUUUAAGGAAACAUACAUACUUGAAAGGUGGGACAAGGACGCAUUAUUACGGUAUCUUUCAAUCUGCAGCUAUCGGCAAACUCGCAAGCCAAUCAAGCAGGCAGCAUACCUACAAGGACUAAUAAGAAAGCCGAACUAACAUAGGACAGACAUAGCUUAGUGACACCAAAAUUAAAUUUGCACGACUACAACAUCACGUUUCCGAAAAGCAUAACAAUAUUGAGGUUGAACAGUACAUUAACGCAAAGAACAUCUAUAAGCAGA